rnacentral:rRNA from 1 species
UACAGAGGGGGCAAGCGUUGUUCGGAAUUACUGGGCGUAAAGGGCGCGUAGGCGGCCUGCUAAGUCGAACGUGAAAUCCCCGGGCUCAACCCGGGAACUGCGUCCGAUACUGGUUGGCUUGAAUCCGGGAGAGGGAUGCGGAAUUCCAGGUGUAGCGGUGAAAUGCGCAGAUAUCAGGAGGAACACCGGUGGCGAAGGCGGUUCUCUGGGCAUUACCUGACGCUGAGGAGCGAAAGUGUGGGGAGCGAACAGG